ACUAGGGUGGCAGAGCCCGGUAAAUGCAGGGAGCCUAAGCCUCCCCUUCAGAGGUUCAAGUCCUCUCCCUAGUU
rnacentral:tRNA from 1 species